CUAUUGAUACUUGGGGGACGCCCCGCCCAUUUGUCCUUGGACACUAAUGGUUUCCUCCUCUCCUCUCCAGGACUACUCCUUCUCCUGCAGAGUGGAUCCUUCGCGCCUUCCUCCUCUUAACCUUCCUCCAGUUCCAGACCUCCGGCACACCCCCCUCCCCCCUCUCUGGAGGGUCCCCUCCCCGCUGCCCUGGCUCCAACCCAUCGCCAGGACAAUGGCCCCGAGGCUAACCUCGAGGCUGCAACCCAGGAGAUGGGGCGGGUCCGUGUUGAGGAUCCAGAGAUUCAGCUGGACGCCCCUGGACCCAAAUGCUCCCAGACCCAGACUUCACUACUAUAGCGUCCUCCAGAGCAGCAGGGUCUCCAGGAGCAGGGCCCCCCCCGACCAGCCUCCGUCCUGGGUGUACGAUAGGACACGACCCCCUGAAGAACAAGGAGGAGCCCAGGUGAAACCAGACACAUGAUGUAACUUUCAGAGAGCACUCCAGGGUAUGUUGUGAUAGUCCAGUGUUGUACAGCCAGGCAGCAGAGAGCAGAAACACCUGCCAGAGCCCCCCAGAGAAGAGACCACAGGUCUAGACAUGGGUCUGAAGAGGACCUACAAUACCUGGCUCCCAGGAGUGCCCAGAAGAGGCUUUCCUCCUGUCAUCCCAGAAGACAGAGAGGAAGAAGGCGAUGAGGCAGCGGAGCAGCAGGAGGAAGAGAGGGAGGAGCAAGAGAGCGGCCUUGUAGGUCAGGCUGGAGGAGAGACAUGUCUGAAGGUAGCCAUGCUUGAUUCAUGCUGGAAGUCUUCUCCUCUGGCUCAGAUCCGUUACUAUGGACGACACUGGCCUGGAGAUCAAGGGGGAGGACCAGGGUCCACAGGUGCUGGUCUUCACACUGGCCUUCUGAAAGUCCCGAUGCCCCGGCAUGCCCGGUCAAACCCGAGCCCCAAGGCUGCCCAGAACCAGCGGGAGAACCAGAACCAGGGAGUGGGUCUGCUCCCACUGGACCAGACCCGGCUUGGGAUCAGAGGACGUCAGGGUCCAGAAGAACCUCUGGUUGAACCACUGAUGUUCGCUAUUUCAGAACCAUCUGGGACUGUCCCACAGAACAGAGAGGAAAGAGGAGAGCAGAGAAUCCGAGGACAGAGGGACGAAGGACAUGGAUGUAAAGGAGUGGAAGAAAGAAUUGAAGAAAGAGGAGCUGAAAAAGUCUGUGUGAUUCUACUUCAACCGUUAGCAGAGAUGGCUACUCCUGUGCUGAUGCAUUGCUUUGAGGGGAGGAAAGGCCCAGGGAGGCAGAGUUCUCUGGCUGCCCUGCACACCAGACAGCUUGACCCCCGUUCUGACCUCCACAACCUCCAUGACCUCCAGGAGUCUGGGGGUACCAGCGGGGGGGUGGUGAGGGGCACACUGCCCCAGGUGCUGAGAGAGUUCCAGGCAAGGCAGUCCAUGGGCAGCCUGCUCUUGGGUCCUGAUGGGGAGGUCCUUCAGCUGUCCCUCUAUGAGAACCACGCAGAUAGGCUCCAGCUGGCGCACCGUGAUGAGGUCACAGAGGAGGAGAAGGGGCAAGAACAGCUGCCCUGGGUCUCUUCCCUGAGGCCCGAACACACACAGAGAGGUACACGCACACAAACACACACACAAACACAAACACAUGUUAACGCAAACAACCAAACAUGCUUUAACAUACACACACACGCACAAAGACACACUCACACACACACACACAUGUUAACGCACACACCCAAACAUACCUUAACAAACACACACACACACACACACACACACACACACACACACACACACACACACACACACACACACACACACACACACACACACACACACACACAGCCUCAUGACAUGAAUCUUCCCAUAAGGGAUGUGGUUCUUAGUGAAGCCAGUGGUUGCCAAGGGCGACCAGCGUGUCAGCCAUUGUGUCUGAUGGGUUGGGUUUCUGCUCUGCUAGGAUAA
ensembl:lncRNA